GGUAUAGCUCAGUGGAAGAGCAUUUGACUGUGGAUCAGAAGGUCCCUGGUUCAAAUCCAGGUGAGGCCU